UCCUACGGGAGGCAGCAGUGGGGAAUAUUGCACAAUGGGGGAAACCCUGAUGCAGCGACGCCGCGUGAGUGAAGAAGUAUUUCGGUAUGUAAAGCUCUAUCAGCAGGGAAGAAAAUGACGGUACCUGACUAAGAAGCCCCGGCUAACUACGUGCCAGCAGCCGCGGUAAUACGUAGGGGGCAAGCGUUAUCCGGAUUUACUGGGUGUAAAGGGAGCGUAGACGGCGAUGCAAGCCAGAUGUGAAAGCCCGGGGCUCAACCCCGGGACUGCAUUUGGAACUGUAAGGCUAGAGUGUCGGAGAGGCA
rnacentral:rRNA from 1 species